AGCAAAUCGCAAAGUGAAAACAGGCGAUAAAUCAUUCAAGUUUCUGACCUAUCAGCUUUCGACGGUAUGGUAUUGGCUUACCGUGGCAGUGACGGUUAACGGGGGAUUAGGGUUCGAUUCCGGAGAGGGAGCCUGAGAAACGACUACCACAUCUAAGGAAGGCAGCAGGCGCGCAAAUUACCCAAUUCUAACAGUUUGAGAGAGGUAGUAACAAGAAAUAACAAUACAAGGCAAUUAAAAUGCUUUGUAAUUGGAAUGAUAGAAAUUUAAACCCUUUUUAAAGUAUCAAUUGGAGGGCAAGUCUGGUGCCAGCAGCCGCGGUAAUUCCAGCUCCAAUAGCGUAUAUUAAAAUUGUUGCAGUUAAAAAGCUCGUAGUUGAAGUUCUGCUAAAAGUAACCGGUCUGCUU
rnacentral:rRNA from 1 species